rnacentral:rRNA from 1 species
GACGAACGCUGGCGGCGUGCUUAACACAUGCAAGUCGAACGGAAAGGCCCUGCUUUUGGGGGGUGCUCGAGUGGCGACCGGGUGAGUAACACGUGAGUAACCUGCCCUUGCCUUUGGGAUAACUUCAGGAAACUGGGGCUAAUACCGGAUAGGAGCUCCUGCUGCAUGGUGGGGGUGGGAAAGUUUCGGCGGUUGGGGAUGGACUCGCGGCUUAUCAGCUUGUUGGUGGGGUAGUGGCUUACCAAGGCUUUGACGGGUAGCCGGCCUGAGAGGGUGACCGGCCACAUUGGGACUGAGAUACGGCCCAGACUCCUACGGGAGGCAGCAGUGGGGAAUAUUGCACAAUAGGCGGAAGCCUGAUGCAGCAACGCCGCGUGCGGGAUGACGGCCUUCGGGUUGUAAACCGCUUUCGCCUGUGACGAAGCGUGAGUGACGGUAAUGGGUAAAGAAGCACCGGCUAACUACGUG